AACGAACGCUGGCGGCGUGCUUAACACAUGCAAGUCGAACGAGAUGCUAGAGCUUGCUCUAGCGGACAGUGGCAGACGGGUGAGUAACGCGUGGCAACCUACCAUUUUCUACGGAACAACAGUUGGAAACGACUGCUAAUACCGUAUACGUCCUCCGGGAGAAAGAUUUAUCGGUGAAUGAUGGGGCCGCGUUAGAUUAGCUUGUUGGUGAGGUAAUGGCUCACCAAGGCGACGAUCUAUAGCUGGUCUGAGAGGAUGAUCAGCCACACUGGGACUGAGACACGGCCCAGACUCCUACGGGAGGCAGCAGUGGGGAAUAUUGGACAAUGGAGGCAACUCUGAUCCAGCAACGCCGCGUGAAUGAUGAAGGCCUUAGGGUUGUAAAAUUCUUUCGCUAGGGAAGAUAAUGACUGUACCUAGUAAAGAAGCCCCGGCUAACUCCG
rnacentral:rRNA from 1 species